UGGGGAAUUUUGGACAAUGGGCGAAAGCCUGAUCCAGCAAUGCCGCGUGUGUGAAGAAGGCCUUCGGGUUGUAAAGCACUUUUGUCCGGAAAGAAAUCCUUGGCUCUAAUACAGUCGGGGGGAUGACGGUACCGGAAGAAUAAGCACCGGCUAACUACGUGCCAGCAGCCGCGGUAAUACGUAGGGUGCAAGCGUUAAUCGGAAUUACUGGGCGUAAAGCGUGCGCAGGCGGUUUGCUAAGACCGAUGUGAAAUCCCCGGGCUCAACCUGGGAACUGCAUUGGUGACUGGCAGGCUAGAGUAUGGCAGAGGGGGGUAGAAUUCCACGUGUAGCAGUGAAAUGCGUAGAGAUGUGGAGGAAUACCGAUGGCGAAGGCAGCCCCCCUGGGCCAAAUACUGACGCUCAUGCACGAAAGCGUGGGGAGCAAACAGGAUUAGAUACCCUGGUAGUCCACGCCCUAAACGAUGUCAACUAGUUGUUGGGGAUUCAUUUCCUUAGUAACGUAGCUAACGCGUGAAGUUGACCGCCUGGGGGAGUACGGUCGCAAGAUUAAAACUCAAAUGAAUUGAC
rnacentral:rRNA from 1 species